CAACCGCCUACAAAAGGCGCCCAGGCGCGCCCCCUCCACCCCGCGCUCCGGCCUCCUCCCUCUCUCUCUUUGGAGCCUUCGUUCCUGCCGCGCCUCCGCCCUCGAUCGCCUCCUCGCGUCUCCGCGACUGUUUCCGUCCCCUUGUCCAUCAAAUCUCGAUUCGUUUGGUUUAACGAUCGAUGGUGGAUUCCAGUUUCUCGUGCUCGGUCAGAUCGGUUCCUGGUUCCGCCACCUGCCUGCCUCCGUCGGUGAUUUUGAGAUUUGAAUUGAUUGAUUGAAUUUAACACGAGGUGGAUUCGAGGCCCUCGUGGAUUCUUGCUGUACCGGCUGAUCUAGCUUGCUUUUGGUGCAUGCAUGUGCUCUCAUCCUAGAUGCAGAACCAAGAGGGCGAGCGCUAGUUCCGAAGAGAUGAUAAUAGAUGAAGGGGGUGGAGGUUUGAUUUCUAUUCAUGGUUGUUUUGAUUGAUUGGUUACAGUCCAACGGUUAUUCUGAUAUGGUUAGAUCUUCUCGGAUGAUCAAGCUUUCAAUCUCUUACCAACUAGGCUGGAAUAUCUCAAUCCCUCCUAUGUACAAUUCUGAUUUGGACAUUUUGCUAGUUGUCCAGAAAGUGGGAUGACAGGGCCUGAUGGGAGCCACUCAUCUUCUUGCUGACCUGGGCGUGUUUGGAUGGUCACUCUCUGUUUAAUUUGUUCUUCUCCACAAUUCAAUUAGUCUCCCAACAACUCUGAUUGUCAUUUGUUGCUGGCUCUCCAGAGCGGGCGGUACUAUUUUGGCUCGGCAUGGCGUUUCUUCCUUCUUAUGGGGUUCAACUUUCUGAACCUUUCUUGUUGAUUAUAAUAACUCAUCUGACAGUAGUUUCCCCUGCCUUAGUCAUUCAGAUAGUGUCUUGCAAGAGAUAUAAUCGGAACUGUGUUGUCUACCUGACCUUCCCAGUCGAGACAGGCUUACUUUAUUUUAUCUUCAACUCAUCGUUUAAUCUAGUUUUCUUCCUAACUGAAACAUUUAUUUAUCGAAAGGUAUCUUGCUCCUUCAGGAACUCAAGGCCACCAACCUGAUGCUGAGUUUGCAGUUCUUCUAAAUCUAUCUUCUCCUUAACUUAGAAAAUAUAAUACGAAGAUUUCUUACUAGGCAAUAUUUCGAAUUCAGAUUCAGCUGCAAAGGUGCAAGAAUGAAGCUUCGAACAAGUGGCACAUCGUACAACCGGAAAAAACUUAACCUCUUAUCCUCUUAUUUUUAUUUAAUUCAGCUACAUCUUUGAUUUUGGUUUUUUGCUUCUGCCUUCCAUGUCGUUGCAGAUUUGUUUUGGCCCAAAACAAUGCUGGUAGUGAGUCUGAACCUGUAAAAAUCGUCUGGUUUGCCAUCUAUCUCUUUGUCUGGAUCCCUGCGUUGGUCUUCCUGCCCAUUGCUAUCUGAUAUAUUUAUAGGAAGUUUGGUUCUACAUGCAAACUUGUGCUUUGUAUACGUGUCACGGUGUCAGGUCAGUGUCUUGACUGUUGGUUCAUUUGUGUUGGUUUCCAUGGGUUGGUUGCAGGACUGGAUCUGGUAUGUGGAGAUCCUUGGGGUGUUUUAUGUCUAAGAGAUUUGAGGCAGGUCAGAUUUGAAUGGUUAUCGCUCGUGUGGUCUUCUGGUUCUCAUCACGAGUUCCAACAUCAUCAGCUAAUAUGAGGUGGAUCCAAGGUCCUGGAGGAUUCUUAUUGUAGCAGCUCAUCUCGCUUUUGGUGUGUGUUUGUGCUCCUUUAGAUGCAGCAGAAGCAAGAGUGUGCAGAGAUGAGUCAAAGGGUGGAGGUUUGGUUUCCUUUAGAUGAACAAAUGGUCAGAUCUUCCCGGAGGACAAUGUUUUGGUGUUCAACUGAAGUUUUGGAUCGCUCAUCAACCUAGAACUUGUGAUCCGUGUUUGGAUGAUCAAAUUCUCGAUUCCUCUGACUUUUAACUUAUUCAUUUUCAAAGUACAAUAAUUUACUCUCCAGAGGUUCUGAUUUGGAUUAUUAUUUGUGGAUCUCCAGAAAUUUGGAUUUGGCUUAGCAUCGGGGGUGACUUGUCGUCUUCUUUCUGAUUUGCUUUGGAUGAAUCAUUACUUCCUCCAUUUCAUUCAUUUCUCUCCACAGCUCACCUUCUGUCUACGACAAUUCUGAUUUGCAUUUGUUGCACCUAUCAUCUUGGUGAUCUGCGUUGGAUGAUUAUUACCUUCUUAGUUUAAUUUUUUCUUCUCCAGAGUUCAAUUAGUCUCCCAACAAUUCUGAUUGUGAUCUGUUGAUGGUUGUCCAGAAAUUGGAAUUACAGGGCCUAGCGGGUGGAGAGCGGCGUUGCAGAGGCCGAGUGUCAGGUAGCUCGGUAUCCCCUUCGUGGGAAAGGACUUCGCGAUUCCUUCUUGUCAGGCGUUUCCGAGGUAUACGGGCUAAUACACACAUGCAUGCAUAGUGCAGCCGUAUGGAAGUGGCACAUUGUCAGGCCCUGCUCGCACGGGUUAAACGAACGCGGGUUUUUGAAAUAGCACAGGAUAAGCCUGCCCUGUCUGCAGAGUUGCAGCAGAAUUAUUGUUGCACUGGCCCAACAAAAAGUAUUUAUUUUCUAUUCAGCUAUUUUUUGUAUAUGUACCAUCCGAGCAUUUCUCUUUUUUUUAUAAACUAAUCUUCAAAUUAGUGUGCAAUUAGUUAUUGUUUUUUAGCAGACAAUUAACUAACUGUGUGCUUCUUCUUAAUUUUUUUUAAAGAGCUCUCUUAAGAUGGUCCCUGUUACCUCUUAAGAGGCAAGAGAAAUAUUUGCUUUGUUCAUUCAUCAAGGAUAUAUUUGACCACACAAAUUGUAAUAUGGCAAUUACUUGACAAAACUAAUGUUUAAAACAUUUCCCACAUCUCCUUUUAAUAUAAUAAUAGUUCACAUUUGACCCCCGUACAUAUGUGUUGUAUCUACCAUAUGAAGAUGAGUAAUUAUCAUGUUGUAUAAUAUGAUAAAUAUCCAUGUGAUACACACUACAAAAGACAUUUCAGUAUGUAUAUUCGCAUCAUUCUGAGGGAGCCAAUAAAGAAAAAUAAAUGUACACACAUGCUAGGACCGUGUGACUCAUUCCUGUGUAAGAAAUAUUCAAAAUGUUCUCCAUUAUACAUUAUCUGCUCUAACAAAAAAUGUGUUACCCCUCAAAAAAGAUGUGCAAUAACACUGGUACACGUGGUUGCUUUGUUACAGAAAAAUUCUGAUGGUAUUUUGACUGUUUUUUUGCUAUGGUUUGAUCAAGCAGUAUUCAUUUAUGGUGUUUUCUAAAAACAAAUGCAGUGCAUUUUCUUUUUAAUUUCCCAACCGACAACAUAAUACAAGCAUAGAUAUAUAUGACAGGACAUGACAAACUUCUUAUUUCAUUUGUUAGACAUGAUGAUAAGGUACGUUAAGCAAAACAAAGUUGGAAACAAAAUAUGGAAUUAAUUAGCUCUAUUUAUUUUCUUUUCUUAUAUACUCCCAGUUUAAAUGGAAAGGAAUAAAUUAUAAUGAUUUCCUUUCUUAACUAUACCGCAACAAUGUCCAUACUAAACCCCACGCCGUCAUUAAUGGUAUAUUACCUCAUAUUACCUGCUAAGAGGUACUCCCCCCAUUUUUAUGUACUCUGCAUAUUAGUUUUGACUGUUGUCUAAAUAAUAAGAGUCAAAACUGACUCUUACAGAAAUGUAGGGAAAGGCUGCGUACUAUAGACCCAAAGUGGUCGGACCCUUCCCUGGACCCUGCGCAAGCGGGAGCUACAUGCACCAGGUUGCCCUUUGUUGUCUAAAUAAUAAGAACAUUUACAGUAACAAAUCUACAUGAUGUGAGAAUAUAUUCAAUUAUGAAUACAAUGGUGUUAAUUCGGUGGUGUACAUGUUAUUAUAUUUUUGUACAAACUUGUUGAACGUUUAUAAGGUUUGGCGUUAGACAAAUUUAAUAUACGGAGUAAAUAAAAUCGGAGGGGGUAAUAGUUAUAUCAGCCAUUAGAUAAUUAAAAUUUAACGGUCUAUAUUGCUUUGGACCACCUUGAAAUUUCUCUAAAAAAUGUUAUGCCGCCGUUCGGGUGCUAAUAACACAUGUUCAUCGCUAAUUUCUCUAUUUCCAUAAAAUUUAUUCUCAAAUUAUUGUGCAAUUAUCUACUAUUUUUUGAUCAAAUAUUUAGCUAAAUGUGUUUCUUUUCUUUAAAAAAUGUUGUGCAUUCGGGUGCUAAUAACACAUGUUCAUCGUGGAUUUCUCUGUUUCUACAAACUAAUCCUCAAACUAGUGUGCAAUUGGCUACUGCAUCAAAGUAGUAUCAAUAUUCUAAUCUGCCUGACGUCGCACACGUCGCUAUCUGUUAGAAUGUAACAGCCACGGGCUUACUCCACCUGCUCGUUUUAACCUGUGCAGUCUGCUUGCCUCUUUUCGUUAUGAUUAAAAUCCCACGAUUAGUGUUAAGUUAUGGUUAAGGACCUUAAAUUAUUUUUUGUUAACUGUUUCAGCCCUACAACUUUUUAAUACAUACCAAAAUCAUAUAUUUACUAUACUAACAAGCAAACAAAAAUCCGCGUCUUACUGUUCCUCCAUUUUCACAUUGCUAAUCUCUCAUAUUGAACAAAACUAUAUUCAACGUGGGCUAUCAUUAUUGUGCUAAUCUGCUGGAUCAUGCAGUAAUUCUCCGGCGCCCUCCCACCCUGACAAGUCAAACCAUCAUCAAUUUUCUCAACAGUGGCGACCUGCGAAAAGGAGUGAUGGCCCAUCUAAUAACUUGUACCUGUCCCUUCAACUGUUGGCGAACAGUGGAAUACGGUGAUAUACGUAUUGCUGGAAAUUGCAAUACGACUGACAACACAUAUCCCAAUGCUAGUUGGGUGGGGUGGAUUCCGUGCUGCCUGUAGACCGGCCUCUGCAACGUUUUUUCGCUAGCGGGUGGUCCUAUUUUGCCUCGGCAUGGCGGUUCUUUUUCUGUUCGUCGACUUUCCUGACCUUUCUUAUUCAAUAUAAUUGAACUCUCCAGACAUUUGUAUUUUCUCUGCUCUUAGUCGGUAAUUCUCAGUUCUUGCAGAUACUGGCUUCGAUAAUUGCAGUUUGGAACCGGUGUGGUAACCCGUCAUCCCUACCCCCAACCGAGACAUGCUUAGUUAAUCUUUACAUCCUCAUUGUUUGAUGCAUGCUUUAGCUGAGCCGAGUUUUUCCUAACUUGUAGAAAGGUAUCUUCCUCGGUGCAGGUCAUAGUUGAUGAAUUCAAGUCCAAUCUGGUGCUGGGCUGCAGUUCUUCUAAAUCUACCAUUUUUUUAACUCAUCAUAAGUUAGAUAACCUUUAAAGUUAUCUCCCUUUGUUUUAGUCUCUCCACCGUUUUGUUUUGGUGCCUCAAAAUUCUGAUUUAAACUACUUCUUCGUGGCUUACAGAAAUUGGAAUAAUAUGGCUUAGAAGGCGGUCCUAUUUUUCCUCAACAUGGCGGUUCCUUCUGUGGCUCAAAACUUUUUCAACCUUCCUUACUUAAAUCUCAUGGCAUUAGGUUUUCUCUGCCUUAGUGGGUAAUUCUCAGCUCUUGCAGAUAUUGACUUGGAAAGGAUAUCCUGCAGUUUGGAACUGGUGUUGUUAUCGUCCGUCAACCAUAGCUGAACUUCCUAUCUGAAACAGGCUUACUUGUUCCCACCCAUCAUUUGAGCCAUACUUUAGCUAUUUAUAAGUAACAUUUUCCCCUAACUGAAAAUUUAUAGAAAGGUCUCUUGCUCGUUACAGGUUGUAGUUGACGAACUCAAGCCCAACCUGAUGAUGAAUCUGUUUGCAGAUCUUCUAAAUCUAGAUUGUUUCAAUUCAUUGUUACUUACAUGACCUACACAUUAUUUUACUAGGCAAUAUUUUGUAAUACAGAUUCAUAUGCAGAGGUGCAUGAAUCUAAGGAUAAUCCGAAGCUUUCGACUAAUGGCACAUCCUACAACCGAAAAAGACUCUUGCCAUCCCUUUUUUUUAAUUUCAUUUAGCUACUUGGCCAUGUCUUUGAUAUAGGUUUUUGCUCCUGCCCUUCCUGUGCUUGCAGAUUUUUCUUUAGCCCAGGCCAUGUGGGUAAUGACGCGGAAUCUGUUAAAUAUUUUGGUUUGCGAUCUAGCGUUCCGUUGUUCGAUUUGUUAUCUUAACUCUUGAUCCUUGUGUUCUAUUGGUCUUCUGCAAGUGCGGGUUGCAGGAUAUAAUAGUUAGGAGUUUGUACCCAAACCUUUGCUUUGUACAUGGAGUCAGUUCAGUGUCUUGUAGAUGGUCUGUUUCAUUUGCUAUCGCCGCCUCCAUGAGUUGGCUUGCAGGACUGGAUCUGGAUCUGGAUCUGAAUCUGGUCUGGACAUGUAGCUCCCUAUGGUGUAUAACAGUAUGGUGAAGGGGUUUUGAGGCAGGUCAGUUUCCCAUGUUUGGUCACAUUGGUUUACUGGAUCCCUCAUCUGUGCUCGGCGACGAAAGAUUUGAGUGGCUACCUUAAGUUCUUCGAUUUGUCUUCGUCUAAUGGCUCAUCAGUAUCGUUGUCCCUAGAUAUGAGGUGGAUUCUCGUUGGUUCUCGUUGUAACAGCUGAUCUUGCUUGUGGUAUGUGUUUGUGCUCCUUGAGAUACAGGAUGUUGUGGAGUGAUGAAUCAAAGGAUCGAGGUUUGCUUUACUGUCCGUGGUUAUUUUGAUUGGCUCAAUGGAUGGUUAUAAGCUAGGAUCUUGUGUGCUGAAGUUUUCGUUUUGGAUUGAAGCUGUGGAUUGGAUAGUUAACCAUGGGAUGGGGAUCAGAGAAUUUUCGAACAGUGUUUAUAAUCGAUCCUCCUCGAUUUAGUGUCUUUGUUUUGCACAGUCAAAUUUAGCUUACAACAUCUCUGAUAUGGAUUGUUCUCCAGCUAUUGGACUUAUGGGGACUUUCUGGAAGGUGCCCUGUUUUGUUUCACCAUGUUAUAGACGGUUUCUUCUGUUGACUUCAAUCUUUCCUGAUUUGCUUUGAACAUUGUACUCCUAUGGUUUUCUCUGCCCUUGGUAACGUGUCCUUGCAGAUAUUGACAUGGAUGAGAGAAUUUAGUUUGCUAUCUGGAACUGGUGUUGUUGCCUAACUGAUAUUGACAUGGUUAUAAUGCAUUAUUUAGCUGUUUCAAGUAGCUUUGUCUCCCCACAGCGAAAAUUCAUGGGAAGGUCUCUUGGUCGUUGCAGGUCCUAAUUGACUAUUUAGGUCCAACCUGAUGUGGAGUUAUCUGUUUGAAGAUCUUCUAAACCCUACAACUUUCCAAUUCAUGAACAUUCAGAUUGAUUUGGUGGAUGUAUAAGAUUCGAAGGUUGCUCCGGGGCUUCAGUCUAGAUUGGACAUCCUACAACCGAAAAAAUUCAGUGCUCUCAACAACCAAAAAAUUAUCUUAUGCUGAGUUAUCUCCUGAGAAACUUCUGUUGUCUUGGUUGCCUUUUGCUUGUAGGAUUGAUUGUGGUUUUUCCUCCUGCCUUCCUGUGGUUGCAGAUCAAGCCAUGCUGGUAGCGAUUCAAAAUAUGUCACCUUUUUGGUUUCUGAUCCUCUCUGUGGUUUACUUUGUUAUAUCUGUACUCCCCAUCCAUGUGAUUCUGUUGGCCUGGUGGGCUUGUUCUUUGCAGUAUAUGUUGGAAUUGUUGUGUGUUCCCUGUAGAGUCAUCUCAGUGUCUGGUCUGCUCUCAAUGCAAUAAUUAGCUUUGUUCCUCCUCCAAUCUCCAAUGGCUAAUCAACGAUUCUGUCUAUCACGUAAUACAAGGUGAAUUUUAUCUCGUUUAUGUAUGCACCUUUGUUGGAGAUCGUAUUGAAGGGUAGAGAGUGAUUCAUGGUUGUUCUUUAGCUCUUCGGAUGAUAUCUUAAGUUUGAGAUAAGAAUUGUUGGUCAUGCCUGCAUGGUUGAGGAUUCAUAAGUGUCAUGAGGCGUGACUGGACUGUUCGGAUAUAUUCUCCUCCUAUUUGAUUUCUCCAUGUGAACAGUUUGGUCUCUGUUCUGAGUAUUAUUUGGAUUUUUGGUUGUUCUCCAGCAUUUGAAUGGUGCAGAACUCUAGGAGAUUCUUCAUGAUUCGAUCUUGUCAAACUUCUCUCUGAGUGACAGCUUUCAGUUUGAACUUGCAUUCAGUGGUAGUUUGGAGUUAGUAGUGUGCACAUCUGAUUUUUUUCAACCAUCCUGAAGGAUCUUACUUGGUUUCUGCUUCAACUUGCAUGUGGUUUGGACGGAUCGCAUGUUUUGCUCCGAAUCAACAAAAUACUAGAAGUAAAACAAUGGUUCUAGGAAGUUUAAUAUUAAUGAUGUCCUAGGAAGUUCCUUUAUUAGUCUCAAACAUCAGUUCAUACUCAAAGUUUCUAUAGCAGAUUAUCAAAUUUUGAUUUGGCUGUAUUAUUACUUGGUUGUCAUACUGUUUCCAGAAGUUGGGUUUUAAUAUUAGGUUGCUUGUAUCUAUAAUUUUAUCUCUAGUAUCUUUAGCUUGCAAAUUUAUCACCUAAUACAUGUACAUGAGCUCUGACUGCAGUAAAAGAUUUGUCGGUCUACUGUUCUACAUAUUCUUGUCCACACUUGGUUUGUUUAUUUAACUAUUUUCUUGGUGAAUUCUUUAUGAUCAUCUUAUGACAGACAAAGAAUUUUUGGUGUGCACAGAUUUUUAACUUCGGUGAUAAAGAAGAUCCCACCUAGUUUGCGGCUCUCGCACUUUAGUUGGUUUAACAGUAGUGGCCUCCUGACUUGUAGUUAGGUAAUGUUGAUGACUUGAUAUGCAGAAAGAGGCUAAGGAAUUAUUGCCAUAUACUAAAACAAUGGAGAGUUGAAGGUUCUGAACUGGAAGCUUGAAACUCUACUCCUGAUGUCAUCUCAACUAAUUAUGAUUCCGGUUUGGUGGUAUGGAAUUGAUUUUCAGAAAAUGAUGUUCUUCUCAUUGGUGCUUCUCCAGUGAGACCUGCAUUACAUAUCUUCCACUAUGCAUCUUCUCGGUUUGCUAGGGAACUUCCUAGUUGUAGUUUGACAACUAGCAAAACAGUCCUGCCAAUUUGAUGAUUCCUUCUGAUUGUGUACUUUCAACUCAAGUAGCUCAUAUUCCUGGAUUAAAGAGAAAAAGCGUUCACACUUCUUACCGUCUUCUAAUGGCUAAUUUGAUCUGGUUUAUGGGAUCUUCAACUACAUAUUCUCAAAUCUUUAAUUACAUAAUCUCGGUUUUCUGGGAACUCCCUAAUUUCAAUUUGCUUGGCAACUAGCAAAAAUACUAAUUUGACGAUUCCUGUGAAUUGCAUACUCUUAACUCCAGCUAUACAUAUGCCACACAUUAUAUUUCAUAGUCAAUACAUUAUCCUGGAUUUUUAAGAUACAAAAGUAUCUCCUCUGACCCUAUAAUGGGAUAAAACUGCGAAAGAUAAUCAUCCUCUAGAUGUUGGUAUAUAUUCUUAUUGUCAAGAUUAAAGGUUUGGAUCACCCACUACCACUAUAUAAAUUAAUUACUCUCAUUCAGGUCCUGUAAUUUACAGCUUUGUUUGUUUGUGCCCCUAUGUCUGUCUUAUGAUCUUGUGCAGAUAUUUAUUGCCUAUGCAUAGCUGAAAUAAUUGGUUGUAGUGUUUGCUAAUUUUUGUGUUCUGUAGUUUUGUAGUUUAACACUGCCUUUGCGGGUCCCAAGCCCGGAUGAGAAAAUGUGGAGGGAACUCUGAACUUGCAUGGCCUCCAAAUAUUUGAAAUUGAGUAACAGUGAAUGAAGUGAGUAGAAAUUACAGUA